GCCCCAGUAGCCCAAUUGGCAGAGGCAAUGGAUUCAAAACCUGUCCAGUGCGAGUUCAAAUCUCACCUGGGGCAC
rnacentral:tRNA from 1 species